AUUGAACGCUGGCGGCAGGCCUACCACAUGCAAGUCGAACGAGUGGCGGCCGGGUGAGUCAGGUCUGGGAAACUGCCCGAUGGAGGGGGAUAACUACUGGAAACGGUAGCUAAUACCGCAUACCAUCGGAUGUGCCCAGAUGGGAGUAGCUAGUAGGUGGGGGAACGGGUCACCUCGGAGACGAUCCCUAGAGGGUCUGAGAGGAUGACCAGCCAAACUGGAACGGAGACACGGUCCAGACUCCUACGGGAGGCAGCAGGGGGGAAUAUUGCACAAUGGGCGCAAGCCUGAUGCAGCCAUGCCGCGUGGAUGAAGAAGGCCUGCGGGUUGUAAAGUACUUUCAGCGAGGAGGCGUUACUCGCAGAAGAAGCACCGGCUAACUCCGUGCCAGCAGCCGCGGUAAUUC
rnacentral:rRNA from 1 species